rnacentral:rRNA from 1 species
CCUACGGGAGGCAGCAGUGGGGAAUAUUGGACAAUGGGGGGAACCCUGAUCCAGCCAUGCCGCGUGUGUGAAGAAGGCCCUCGGGUUGUAAAGCACUUUCAGUGAGGAAGAACGCCUGGUGGUUAAUACCCAUCAGGAAAGACAUCACUCACAGAAGAAGCACCGGCUAACUCCGUGCCAGCAGCCGCGGUAAUACGGAGGGUGCGAGCGUUAAUCGGAAUUACUGGGCGUAAAGCGCGCGUAGGUGGCUUGAUAAGCCGGUUGUGAAAGCCCCGGGCUCAACCUGGGAACGGCAUCCGGAACUGUCAAGCUAGAGUGCAGGAGAGGAAGGUAGAAUUCCCGGUGUAGCGGUGAAAUGCGUAGAGAUCGGGAGGAAUACCAGUGGCGAAGGAGGCCUUCUGGACUGAAACUGACACUGAGGUGCGAAAGCGUGGGUAGCAAACAGGAUUAGAACCCUUGUAGUC